rnacentral:rRNA from 1 species
CAGUCGCCGCGGGAAUACGAAGGGGGCUAGCGUUGCUCGGAAUUACUGGGCGUAAAGGGAGCGUAGGCGGAUCGUUUAGUCAGGGGUGAAAUCCCGGGGCUCAACCUCGGAACUGCCUUUGAUACUGGCGAUCUUGAGUAUGGGAGAGGUGUGUGGAACUCCGAGUGUAGAGGUGAAAUUCGUAGAUAUUCGGAAGAACACCAGUGGCGAAGGCGACACACUGGCCCAUUACUGACGCUGAGGCUCGAAAGCGUGGGGAGCAAACAGGAUUAGAUACCCGCGUAGUCCCUGUCUCUUAUAC